rnacentral:tRNA from 1 species
GCGGGUGUAGCUCAGUUCGGUUAGAGUGCCGGCCUGUCACGCCGGAGGUCGCGGGUUCGAGCCCCGUCACUCGCGCCA